rnacentral:rRNA from 1 species
GACUGAACACUUGUUCUUCAGCUGCGUAUAUAGUCAGACAAUCACAUCCAAAAUAAGGAGCUGGCUUGGGAUCCCUAUACCAUGCCACGAUCUUCUGAAAUGGCGACUGGAACUCAUGGGCUCUAAAACCAAAAGAGGAAUUGUAAAUGCCAUCAUCAAUAGCUGCAUCUAUCAUAUUUGGAGACAAAGAAAUCAGAGUAAACACGAGUACUCUAUCCUUCGACCAGGGAAGGUGGAAAAUCAAAUUAUUGAGGAGAUGUGUAAUAGAAUUAAUUACCUGAUUCCUGGAACAGUGAAGGAAACAGACCGAGCUUUCUUGCAGAGAAUCAAUGGCGAUUAGCUUGGUGACUGGUGAUGUAAGAGGAAGAGAUAUGGUUGAGUUUUUUGGGGAUUCUGGGGAGAUUGCGGUUUUUAGCUCCUUUUGUUGUAUGCUCCAUAUUUGUUUUUGUUUGAGCUAAACAUGGUUUUGUUGUUGGAUUUCAGAUUGGGCUGUCUAGUUGAUAGCCCAUCGAAAUCUUGUAUGGUCUUGAGUUUUUUCCGUUUUUAUAUAAUACUUACCUUUAACAAAAAAAUAAAUUUGCUACCAUAUUAGUAAGUAUGUGUUGCCACUUUACAAAAUGUGUAUAAGUAUAAAUAGCCGUAUAUGUCNNNNNNNNNNNNNNNNNNNNNNNNNNNNNNNNNNAAAAAAAAGUAGUUGGAGGUGCAAACAACAAAGAAAUUGUAGGUCCUCCAAUGGAUGCUGCCAAGAAAAAAUAAGGAAGGGGGCAUAGGCUAUUCAUGGACUAUGAUCAGUGUCAGUUUGUAAUAAGACUUAUGCUUAGUACUUGGUGGUUGGUUUGAGGAUAUGUUAUUUUGGAACACAAUUUUAGUCCCUCGUGAUAUCAGGGAUCUAAGAGAAUGUUUGUUUUGUGACCAGCUUAAUAACUAUAAAAUGGCAUCAUUAUCUAUUUAAAUGUGCGCAUUUUUUCUUAACAAUUUUAACUAUGCCACCAUAAGCGUCUAAAGAUGUUAUAAUUUUUGUCGAAUAUGUGACCACUGAAAUUAUAAAAUACUUUUAAGUUUUUUUCCAUCUAAAUUAGUAUGUGACCAUAAGAGAGUAUAAUGUUACCAUUUAAGAGACUAUAUAUAGUACUUCAUAAUAUAUUACCUUCAUUUCUAAAUUACUACAAAAUUUGUUCGUUUAAUUUUUAAUGUUACCAUAAGAGAGUACGUUGUUACCAUUUGAGAAUGUAUAUAAAGUUGUAAUUAAUUGGUAACGGAUUUAUUUUAAAUGGUAACAUAAUAUAAUGUUAAUAUAAGAGACUAAUAUGUGACCACUUUAAUAGUAAAAUACUACAUACUAAGUUAUUUUAAUUUCUAAUGUUACCAUGCGAGAGUACAGUGUUACCAGUUAAAUUCCACUGGUACUUUGAAAUGAUUUAUGAAAUAAUAUAUUUAGUUAAACUCGUAACAUACUAUAGUGACAUGGUAACAUAUUUAGUUAAACUUGUGACAUAUUGAAGUGAAAUGGUAAAAAUUUGAGCAGUUAUGAUUACAAAACGUACGCUGACAAUGUUAUAACAACCUUAUAGCACUACACAACAUGUACUACUCCAANNNNNNNNNNNCCAGGCGCUACGGCGCUGAGUUACAUGCCAUACUCCCAGGAAAAAGUCGAACGACCUUCAACAAAAGGGUACCUUGUUACCCGAAACCGACACAGGUAGGUAGGUUUAGAGAAUACCUAGGGGCGCGAGACAACUCUCUCUAAUUGGAACUCGGCAAGAUAGCCCCGUACUUCGGGAGGAAGGUGCCCCCUCACAGAAGGGGGUCGAAGUGGACCAGGCCCGGGCGACUGUUUACCAAAAACACAGGUCUCCGCAAAGUCGGUAAGACCCAUGUAUGGGGGCUGACGCCUGCCCAGGUGCCGGAAGGUCAAGGAAGUUGGAGUGACCUGAUGACAGGGGAGGCCGGCGACGAAGCCUGUGAACGGCGCCGUAAUAUAACGGUCCUAAGGUAGCGGAAAUUCCUUGUCGGGUAAGUUCCGGACCCUUUCCGAAAGGGCUAACGAUCUGGGCACUGUCUCGGAGAGAGGGCUCGGUGAAAUAGACAUGUUUUGAAGAUGCGGACUACUGCACCCUGGACAGAAAAGACCCCUAUGAAGCUUUACUUGUCCCUGGAUUUGGCUUUGGGCCUUUCUGCGCAGCUUAGGUGGAAGGCGAAGAAGGCCCCUUCCGGGGGGCCCGAUCCACAGUGAGAUACCACUCUGGAAGAGCUAGAAUUCAACCCUCUGUGUCAGGACUAACGGGGCAAGGGACAGUCUCAGGGUAGACAGUUUCCUAUGGGCGUAGGCCUUCCCAAAAGCGGGGUAACGGAGGCGUGCAAAGUUUCCUCGGGCCGGACGGAGGAUUGUUUCCCUCGGAGUGCAGAAGGCAGGAAAGGAGCUUGACUGCAGACCUACCAGUCGAGCAGGGACGAAAGUCGGCCUUAGUGAUCGACGGUGCGAGGUAAAGGGCCGUCGCUCAACGGAUAAAAGGUUACUCUAGGUAUAACAGGGCUGAUCUUCCCAAGAGUGUCACAUCGACUUGGUGAAGGUUUGGCCCUCGGAUUCGGCUCUUCGCACCUGGGGCCUGGUAGUUAUGUUCCAAGGUUUGGGCUGUUCGCCCAUUAAAGCGGUACGUGAGCUGGGUUCAGAACGGUCGUGAGACAGUUCGGUCCAUAUUCCGGUGUGGGCGUUUUAGAGCAUUGAGAGGACCUUUCCCUAGUUACGGAGAGACCGGGAAGGACGCACCUCUGGUGUAACCAGUUAUCGUGCCCCACGGUAAACGCCUGGGUAGCCAAGUGCGGAGCGGAUAACUGCUUAAAGCAUCAUAUAGUAAGCCCACCCCAAGAUUGAGUUGCUCUCCUAUUUCCGACUUCCCCGAGCCGCCUGAUAGCACAGCCGGAGGACGGCGACGGGUUCUCUGCCUGCGUGGGAUGGAGCGACAGAUAGUUUUGAGAAUUCAAGGAGAAGGUACGGCGAGACGGAGCCGUUUAUCAUUACGAUAGUGUCAAGUGGAAGUGCAGUUCUUUUCUUUUUUCUGUAUACUUUUUAGGUUUUUUAGGUUUUUUU